rnacentral:rRNA from 1 species
CCCAGACUCCUACGGGAGGCAGCAGUGGGGGAUAUUGCACAAUGGGGGGAACCCUGAUGCAGCGACGCCGCGUGGGUGAAGGAGCGUUUCGGCGCGUAAAGCCCUAUCGGCAGGGAAGAAGGAGGACGGUACCUGACUAAGAAGCCCCGGCUAACUACGUGCCAGCAGCCGCGGUAAUACGUAGGGGGCAAGCGUUAUCCGGAUUUACUGGGUGUAAAGGGGGCGCAGACGGCAGCGCAAGCCAGGAGUGAAAGCCCGGGGCCCAACCCCGGGACUGCUCUUGGAACUGCGCGGCUGGAGUGCAGGAGGGGCAGGCGGAAUUCCUGGUGUAGCAGUGAAAUGCGUAGAUAUCAGGAGGAACACCGGUGGCGAAGGCGGCCUGCUGGACUGCGACUGACGUUGAGGCCCGAAAGCGUGGGGAGCAAACAGGAUUAGAUACCCUUGUA